AUACGAAAGGUGCAAGCGUUGUUCGGAUUUACUGGGCGUAAAGAGAGUGUAGGUGGUUUAUUAAGUCGGAUGUGAAAUCCCGGGGCUCAACCUCGGAACUGCAUUCGAUACUGAUAGGCUAGAGUUUGGGAGGGGUAAGCGGAAUUCCGUGUGUAGCAGUGAAAUGCGUACAUAUACGGAGGAACACCUGAGGCGAAGGCGGCUUACUGGACCAAUACUGACACUGAGACUCGAAAGCGUGGGUAGCAAACAGGAUUAGAAACCCCAGUAGUCC
rnacentral:rRNA from 1 species